rnacentral:rRNA from 1 species
GAGUGAUCGAAAGAUGAAAAGCACUUUGAAAAGAGAGUUAAAAAGUACGUGAAAUUGUUGAAAGGGAAGCGUUUAUGACCAGACUUGGGCUUGGUUAAUCAUCUGGGGUUCUCCCCAGUGCACUUUUCCAGUCCAGGCCAGCAUCAGUUUUCCCCGGGGGAUAAAGGCGGCGGGAAUGUGGCUCUCUUCGGGGAGUGUUAUAGCCCACCGUGUAAUACCCUGGGGGGGACUGAGGUUCGCGCAUCUGCAAGGAUGCUGGCGUAAUGGUCAUCAACGACCC